AAACUCCACAUUAAAAAAUGUGGAUGAUGAUAUAGUCCAUGAUAUUAGUUGGUUAAUUGGGUGGCGAUGUCAUUUUGACAUCUGACCACUGAUUUCCAACAUCACAAUAUCGGCCAGCAGGAGCGGUAAUACAGAGACCCCAACCGUUAUCCGGAUUUAUUGGGCGUAAAGCGUCCGCAGCCGGCGUGGAAAGUGGUUUGUUAAAUCCAGAAGCUCAACUUCUGGGCUGCAGUCCAAACUUCCAUGCUAGAGAAAUGAAGAGGCAUAUGGAACUCAUGGUGGAGCAGUGAAAUGCGUUGAUAUCAUGGGGAACACCAAUGGCGAAGGCAGUAUGCUGGUCAUUUUCUGACGGUCAGGGACGAAAGCGUGGGGAGCGAACGGGAUCGAUGGUAUCUGGUCCCUCGACGAGGCGACUCGUCGUAAAACAAUCUGGCUAUAUGCUGGAACACCCGGUUAUUCAUGAGUUACGUGUUUGGAAAUUGUUUGGUAUAAUUAAAAAAUAAUUAUCCACAAUGCCAAUACGUGAAAAUACUGCAUGUAAUACUUUGCGAAUAGUCGCAAGGUUACCGGACAAUCAGCAGGAAAGACUUCGCCUGAUAAGCGAAGAAUCCUCAGAGACUACAUGCCGGAUGUCUCAAGUAAAGUUUAAUAAAGCAAUUUGAGACAAUGAUAUAGUCCGACCUCUAUGGCGACAUAGAGAGCAUUGGUUAUUUACCGAAAUACCAUGCCACAAAAAAUACUCAUUUGUAUUGAUGUGUUAACAAUCUGUAGAUACCCCGGUAGUCCACGCUGUAAACGAUGCACACUAGGCAUGGGAGUCACUGACAUUUCCGUGUCGUAGCUAACGCGUUAAGUGUGCCGCCUGGGUAGUACGGCCGCAAGGCUAAAACUCAAAGGAAUAGACGGGGACCCGCACAAGCGGUGGAACAUGAGGUUCAAUUCGACGAUAAACGAAAAACCUUAUCCAAGUCUUGAAAGUCAUCAGAAUUUUGCAGAAAUGCGAAAGUGCCCGCAAGGGAGCUUUUGAUACAGGUGCUGCAUGGUUGUCGUCAGCUCGUGGUGUGAACUGUUCGGUUAAGUCCGGGAACGAGCGCAACCCUCGUCGCGCGUUAUAUGUGUCGCGCGAGACUGCCGUCGUCAAGACGGAGGAAGGCGAGGAUGACGCCAAAUCCGCAUGGCCCUCUGAAGACUUGGGCAACACUCGUGUUACAGUGGCCGGGACAAAGGGACGCAAAGCCGCAAGGCGAAGCAAAUCCCAUCAAACCCGGCCGUGGUUUGGACUGGAGUCUGCAACUCGACUCCACGAAAAUGGAAUCGCUAGUAACCGUGAAUCAGCACGUCACGGUGAAUACGUUCUCGGGUUUUGUACUCAAAUUUUAAAGGCGCCCGGCAGCGCUUGAAUCCAGGAGGUUAAAAUCCUCUCCUCU
rnacentral:rRNA from 1 species